rnacentral:pre_miRNA from 1 species
AUGGGAAGUGGUUAGCAUGAAGUUUAUUUUGGGUAAGUUGGUCAAUUGACUAAUAGAAUACUGACACGCAGGCGAGUUCUAUGUGUGUAGUAUUUAUUGGCUCAAUUGACCAACUUACAAAAAAAUAACUUCAUGCUAACCGGAUCCCAU